rnacentral:rRNA from 1 species
AGAGUUUGAUCCUGGCUCAGAGCGAACGCUGGCGGCAGGCCUAACACAUGCAAGUCGAGCGGCCGUAGCAAUACGGCAGCGGCAGACGGGAGAGUAACACGUGGGAACGCGCCCUUCGGUUCGGGAUAACUCAGGGAAACUUGGGCUAAUACCGGAUACGCCCUUACGGGGAAAGAUUUAUUGCCGAAGGAACGGCCCGCGUCCGAUUAGCUUGUUGGUGAGGUAACGGCUCACCAAGGCGACGAUCGGUAGCUGGUCUGAGAGGAUGACCAGCCUCACUGGGACUGAGACACGGCCCAGACUCCUACGGGAGGCAGCAGUGGGGAAUAUUGGACAAUGGGCGCAAGCCUGAUCCAGCCAUGCCGCGUGGGUGAUGAAGGCCCUAGGGUUGUAAAGCCCUUUCGGCGGGGAAGAUAAUGACGUACCCGCAGAAG